GACGUAGGGCGCGAGCGUUGUCCGGAUUUAUUGGGCGUAAAGAGCUCGUAGGCGGCUUGUCGCGUCGACUGUGAAAUCCCGCGGCUCAACCGCGGGUCUGCAGUCGAUACGGGCAGGCUAGAGUUCGGUAGGGGAGACUGGAAUUCCUGGUGUAGCGGUGAAAUGCGCAGAUAUCAGGAGGAACACCGAUGGCGAAGGCAGGUCUCUGGGCCGAUACUGACGCUGAGGAGCGAAAGCGUUGGGGAGCAAACAGG
rnacentral:rRNA from 1 species